rnacentral:rRNA from 1 species
GUAGUUAGCCGUGGCUUCCUCCUUAGGUACCGUCAUUAUCGUCCCUAAAGACAGAGCUUUACAAUCCGAAAACCUUCUUCCUUCACGCGGCGUUGCUGGGUCAGGCUUUCGCCCAUUGCCCAAUAUUCCCCACUGCUGCCUCCCGUAGGAGUCUGGACCGUCUCUCAGUUCCAGUGUGGCCGAUCACCCUCUCAGGUCGGCUACCCAUCGUUGCCUUGGUGGGCCUUUACCUCACCAACUAGCUAAUGGGACGCGAACUCACCCCAAACCGGAUCGCUCCUUUUACCUCAACCCCAUGCGAGGUCGUGGUCUUAUGCGGUAUUAGCACCUGUUUCCAAGUGUUAUCCCCCUGUCUGGGACAGAUUGUUCACGCGUUCCUCACCCGUCCGCCGCUAACAUCCUAGGCCGAAGCUAAGAAUGUCCGCUCGACUUGCAUGUGUUAGGCACGCCGCCAGCGUUCGUCCUGAGCCAGAAUCAAACUCUGA